ensembl:lncRNA
GUGGGAUGCUCAAUUCGUUGGCUGGGUGCCUCUUGGUAUCAUUUCCGUAUUCUGCUCUGUGUUGCUCAACUUUCACCAUCUCCAUCAUCAAAAAAUAUUUUUAGUUGCUUUCAUUACAGGAAAUGGUUGGCAUUGUUCUCAGGGUUGAUCAGAAGGGGGAACACGAGUUGUCUACCAUUGGGAUGCCUGUAAGUAAAGGUUAGGAAACACGUCUCAGCAUCUCAAGGUUGCAGUGUGUACUUUUAGCAGACUUGGUAGGGCCCGGAACAAAGGUGGGGUGAGCUUCUUUACACUGUCAUCAAAUGUCACAGCCAUUCACCAAGAGAAUGAAUGGCCUCCCGAAACCCUCCAGUCUAUAAGAUGGGGCCAUCAUUGUCCCUGUCCUUGCCAUUAACAUUGCAAGCACUGACUUGUGUUUAGCUCACUGUGUGUCCCUGCUUUAGUGCUUCAGUGUCUCAAGGCAUGUCACCUAAUAUCAAUCCUUGGAGAGGUUUUCAUUUUAUUUUCCUUCAGUCUGGAAGACACGAGGAGAUUGAAUAGUUUCUCUAAGGUUGUCCUGUUUGGGCCUUUGUAAGAAUAGGCUGUAAGAACUGUCAUCAAGCUAGGUGAGUGUUUGCUGUGUAGAGACCCCUUUAGAGUAAAUGUAAAAUGUGUAUGGUGAUCCCUUUAGGACAAACUUAGUUCAAUGAAGUGAAGUGGUCUCUGAUCCAGGUCCUUUCUCAGCUCUCCAUGAUUCAAGUGAUGUGAACCCUUUGACGUUGAGAAAGCCAUCCAUUUCCUUCUGAAGCUUGACUCUGUUCAUUUUAGACCUUCCCCAGAUUCUCUCAUGGUGGGGUCAGUGGGGAGAGCAUGUUGCCUACUCUUCCUGUGUCUAUGAAUGGUGGGUGACAUGGAAUUCCUAGGAGAGAAAUACAAAGAAAAAUCACAUCCACUACAUUCUUAUCUUUUCUCCCAGAGGGAGAAGCAGCUUGCUCUUGCUGGGAGGGUCUUCUGUGAGCAACACAGGUUGGCAUUGCUGUACUCUAGAACGGCCUCCUAACUGGAAGCAGGCAACCUCCCUUCCCUGUAGGCUCAGAUUGUGACUCGGGACUCCAGCUCCUGUUGUGGGAGAUGGGUUCUCUUAGGUCUUUAGCCAGGGGAAGGAUUCAGAAGUGCAGUGGGCCUCACCAUCUUCCACUGUCUCCAGUCCAUCAGGAGCAACACUGUCUUCAUGCCAUUUCUGUGUCCUCUGCUUGUUUCUUGUUUGGAUUAGUGUGAACCUUGACCUUUCCCUGGAGAUGUGGUUCUUGCUUCCCUGACACCACAGACUAUGAGCUGAUAGCCAUACUUGCUUUACCUACCCAUGUUAGUCUUCUGGGCAGACUCCAGCACGUACCCCAACUUUAAAACUCAUGUUUUUAUUUGAUAUCCCCUCCUCCUCUACCGACCUUACUAGUUUUAAGUACUUCUGAAUAUUGAUGCCUCCUUACCUAUUUCCCCAGCACAGAUCUCUCCUCCAAACAUCAGAGUCAUCCAGCUGUGUACUUGAUUCCCACACUCCACCCUAUGCCUAAUGAACUAUGCAUUUCCAUAAAAGAAUUCUCAAUUCUUCAUUUCCCACAAAUCAGCUCCUUUUAGUUUCUCCAGCUUGGUAGAAGGCACAAGUGUCUGAUCAGUAACUCAAGGAAAGAGCUAGGUGUUCCCUUGAUUUUACUGUCUUCUCCAAUUCCAUGUCAAAUUCGUCAAGGUCUGUAGGGAAUUUCCAAGCAUCCUCACCUCUCCCUGCACUAGAUGUUAGCAUGCAUCAAGACCAUAUAGGUAGUCUGUAAAGGUCAAACUACAGAGGCUGGGAGAUGGCCCAGUCAGGAAAGUGUUUGUCACACAAGCACAAGGAUCUAAGCACUCCUGUCAAAUGCCAGAUACAGUUGUACAGGCCUGAAAUCCCAAUGCUCAGGAGGCAGAGAGAAGAGACUCUGUGGUGCUUGCUAGCCAGCCAGUCUAGGCAAGUUGGUGACUCAAGUAGGUACAAUGACAGGCCCUGUCUCUUAAAAUAAGGUGGAGAAUGUUAACAGUAGCCUGGGAAGUUUUCCUAGAUUUUUAAGGGAACUUAACUUAGAGCAAACCAGGAUUUGUGUCUUGAUCACUGAAAAGCAUUUUGGGCUUAGUUAGUUUAUGAGGGUAAGAUGGAUGUUUUAUUAAAGAUAUAUAAAAAGGUUAAUAAACAUAGGCUUGAGCACAAGGGUUAAAAGAGAGGUGCUCAGAAGAAAGCAAGACAGCUUACGGGUGUGUUGGAGGUGGUAUGUGCUUUUAAAGGAAGAAUUGGGGAAAGUAAGAUGUACUUAGUAGGGAUACAACAGGCUCCUCAAGGCACAGCACAGUAAGCAAUUAAUUGUCUAACCAUUAACCAUAUAUACCAUUUUGCUUGCUCUCGUUACACAUCAAAAGGUUGUUUUGAAAGUGAAACAAGGUUGGUGGCUCUGGAGAUGCCUCAAAUAGAACUGGGACCUGCUAAGGUAAAGCCAGGGUCCUUGGUGGGUUGCACAAGAGGUUUAGUGAACCUAUCUUUGCCACAUAAAGGGUUUUUUUGUGUGUGAGAUUCCUAGAAAAUUGCUAGUUUAUGGCUGGAAAGGGUGAAAGGCCUUAAGCAGUAGUUAGUUGUCCUGAAUUUCCUGCUGCUUCUGUACUCAGAGGCCUCAGCCAGCUGCCUGCAUGAGGGCUCCUUUUCCUUCUCAUGCCCUCAGACCUUUCUAUCCUUUCUCAGAGAGUGAUGAAGACUCCCAGCAUCUACCACUGGCCAACACAUACAGACAGGCAGGUAUACGCAUGUGAGCGCGCUCGUGCACACACACACACACACACACACACACACACACACACACACACACAAACAAACACACACACAGCAUAAUGGCCGUGCCCCUCCUUCAAGAUUCAGAGUCAAGUGAGUUCAGGCUGGGACCUGACAUUUGCACUUUUAAUAAAGUUCCCAGAAGGUAUGGAAGCUGCUGGCCAUGGGCCCAUCAAGCUUCCCAUCAUUCCUCACUUGAGUUAUUGCAAUAGCCUAAUAACUAUUUAUAUAUUUUUAAAAUAUUUUUUGAGAUUAUAACAUAUCAUUUCCCCCUUCCCUUUUGUCUCUCUGAAUGUGCUCGGGCAGUGGAAUUUAUAGUUGUACUCACUCCAUUCUGUGGGUUUCCCCCCUCCUCUUCUGACUUUCUAAUUCCAUAUUGUUAAAAUAUCUUCCUUAAGUUUGGGGAAAGUCCAUCUUUGGUAGUUUUACUUCCAGAAGUUAAAAACCUAGAAAAUUCAAGUUCCUAGUUUGCAACUUGGGUAUAAGAUGGUGGCCCAGGCUCUACCAUUUGACUUACUUGGAAGACUCCACUGGGUGGUAAGAGAAACCUAAAGAAGGAUACUUUGGACAAAAUCCUCUUUGAGGUAAUGGGGGGAGGUUGGACGAGAUUCCACACAUACAAGCUUACCUCAGGGGCAUUCAGAUGGUUCUGUGGCUUAAAGAAUUGGCUUUACCCUUGACUCUGAGUUGUAGUCUUUUCUUCCUUCCUUCCUUCCUUCCUUCCUUCCUUCCUUCCUUCCUUCCUUCCUUCCUUCCUUCUCCCCUCCCUCUUCCUUCCUUCCUUCCUUCUCCCCUCCCUUUUCCUUCCUUCCUUCCUUCCUUCCUCCCUCCCUCCCUUCCUUCCUUCCUUCCUUUCUUUCUUCAGAAUCUUCAAAACAUCUAUGAGCUGUACAAUAUUAUUUGGGAAAAGUUAUUACACUUAUUUUAUUCUGUGUGUACGCGUGUACGUGUGCACACAUGCCUAUGCCCGUGUGUGUGCACAUGUACUCAUGUCGCAGCAUGCCUGUGGAGGCCAGAGGACGAUUUGCAAGAGGAGUUAGUUCUCUCUGUGUGGGUCAAACUCAGUCCCUCAGAAUUGACAGCAAGCUCCUUUACCCCUAGACUCACCUCACUGGUCCACAAUAUAAUUUUAAGAUGAUUUUCUUUUCCUAGUAAAAGCAGUCAGUGCACUUCGUUAUUUGCAACUAAGAACUCUGUGGUACAUCCAUUCACACAGCAGUAAGACCAGAGCCCUUGCAUACUUUUGAGAUACAAUCCCUUGAAUGCAGACUACUGCUCCCCUCACAACACCUCUAAGGACCAGACAGACCUCCUGUGCCUGCUCCUGCUCUCACCCAGCUUUGAUACCCUUCUAUACUCUGACAGAGCUAUUGCUCAUUUUCUUGAACACACAGCUUGUCCCCACCCUAGACCUUUGCCUCUGCUGUUGUUUCUUCAUGGAGAAUGACCCUUUUGGAUCCUUUUGAACUGGCCUUUUCCUCAUUUUACAGAACUCAAGUUGUUCAACUUAAAAAUGACAACUGUAUAGGAAACUCUCCCCAACUAUGCAAUCCAACAUGGCUGACAUCACACAGAAGUCUGAUUUUUUUACUGAUUGUUUACCACUAGGAUUUCUUAUAUAUUUGCUUCCUGUAGGUCCUUAUUCUAUGAUGCCUAAAGCAAAUAUGUGUCAUAGGUGUAUGAAUUUUGUUGAUAAGUAUUUUCUCUCAGAUUAUUCCUUGUCUUUCCAUUUUUUUCUCAGUGUUGUUUUGAGAAUCAUGAACACUUUUAGUAUGAUAGAGAAUGUGACAAUUUCGAACCCUUUGAAAUUUAGAUUCCUUCAUGAUCCACCAGCUCUUCCCCGUCCAGCCCUUCUUCUAUGCAGAAGUUUCUGGUGUGAUACACCGUAUCUUUAGGAUCAUUUUGAGAGUUUUGAGACAAUCCCUCCCUGGCCUUCACCAGCAGUUCCCAAGACCAUUGACAAGUCCAUUGCUUCCCACCAGCCCAAACUCUGGCUAUGGGGCUACAAAGUGAGCUUCCUAUGAAUAGACCCACCACUGGGGGUCUGUGUGUGCUGGCACAUCGUUCCAGGCUUCCUUUGGCUCAUCUUUCCCUUUCUUCCCGCUGGGAGUCUGAGUGCUCUGCAGCUGUUCCAAGAGCUGGCUGCUCUGACUGGCAGAAGAGCAAAACAAAAGAUGUGAGGUGGUGACUCCCCACAUCUGCACUGCUCCAGAGAACACAGAGCUGAUGCCUUUAGCAAUGGGGGGCUUUCAGGCUCAGGACAGAGGAAAUGUACCCUGAAGGGGAAAGUUUCCCUUCUAGCUGACAGAGCCACUCAUCAAUGGGCAAGGAACAUCAUGAAACGGAACAUUAAGCUUUGAUGAACUGCAAAGCCUCAGAGGUUUAAGCUGUGAGUCAACAGAGACCUUCUAAUCUAUAUAAACACUCUGCACGCAAAUUCCCACCCAGCUUGGGGCCUUAUUUGGUUGGAGUUUCUGACUGUCUCUCACAGGAGACAGGGCUCUGAGGUGCAGGUGCAAAGAUGUGGUCUUUCCAGAAAGGACACCUGGGUCAUGCAGAGUCUUCAGCUCAGAGAAGCCACUUCAGGAUUCUUUUGUUUGCAAAAUCAGUUGGGAAGUGUGGAAGGAAGUGUAGAAAAGGAAGAGGCAAGAGAAGCAUUGAAGAGGAGGAAACUGAGGCUGAGACAUGGCAUCACAUGGCUUCUCUGACCAACUGAAUUGUGUCAAGUUAGGUGCUAUGGAUGUUUAUGACCUGAAGACUUCUCCCCUGAAGAGACUGAUCCUACCAAGAUUAGCCAAAUCUCCUUGUCUAGCUGUGUAUAAUUCUCCCUACAUGUUUGUGUCUCUCUGUGUGUGUGUGUGUGUGUGUGUGUGUGUGUGUGUGUGUGUGUGUGUGAGAUAACUUCUCCUUGUUCACCUGUAUAUAAUACCCCUGGUUUUCUACUUAAUUGUAUAUAAUAAACAUGCUGGGCUUUCAAGAUGUUAUGGCUUCUCCAUCUAAUAGCCUUAUCCACCGAUCCCAGCUUUUCU